CAUCCCCGACAACGAGCGUCCAUGUCGUCGCCAAGAAAUAAACUACCCACAUUCUCGAACUAGGUGGGUCCAAACUUCACUGUUCCCUUCCUCUGCUCUCGACACAUGCAUUCUUCCCAGCUCACCCCACACUCUUGACUCCUAAGCUAUUUCAAAACAGCGCCGCACCUCCUUAGCCUCCAUGGAUCCCUCCCUGGCCCCGCCCUGCCCAGCCCGCGAGGACUGUUGGACCGAGGAAGCCACUCACACUCUCCUCGACGCCUGGGGCGACCGCUACGUCCAACUCAACCGCGGCAACCUCGGUCAGAAGCAGUGGCAGGAGGUCGCCGAUGCCGUCAACGCCCGUCACGCCCACUUUCCCAACUCCCUCCGCUCCGACGUCCAAUGCAAGAACCGCAUCGACACGCUCAAGAAGAAGUUCAAGAUCGAGAAGGCUAGGGUUUUCCAGUCAUGCGGCUCUUACGUCAGCUCCUGGCCCUUCUUCGCCCUCCUCGACGCUCUCAUCGGCUCCACCUUCCCCAAGUCUUCAUCUCCUGUCGCCUUAGGAAAUCGGAAAACCCCACCUACGGCUUCUCAGGCGUGGAAUCUCUCCUCGCCGGUGCCGGUUGGCCCCCGAACUCACAAACGCCCGCCACCAGCGGGCCACUCCCGGCGUAACUUCUUAGUUUUCUCGGCGGCGGAGGGCGAGGGUUCGGAGGACUUGAGGGGGAGCAUUGGGACUGAGAGCGAAGGAGGAAGAGUGAGGAGUGGUGGGUACAGGGAAUUGGCGCAGGCGAUAGAGAGGUUUGGGGAGAUAUAUGAGAGAGUGGAAUGGGUAAAGCAAAGGCAGAUGAUAGAGUUGGAGAAGCAGAAGAUGCAAUUCGCAAAGGACUUGGAAUGCCACAGGAUGCAGCUUUUGUUGGAAACGCAGGUCCAGCUUCAGAAGAUGAAGCGUGCCAGGCGGUCCGGAUAAAGUGAUUACAAUUUUGAUAAAGGAGUUCUAAAAGUGAAGAGUCCUUUGAGAUCCUCAUGUUGCUUACUUUUAGAAUGGCGUCCAUGUGCAACAAAAGUUGGUUCGUGGAUAACAAUGCUGUGGUUUGAUUACUACAAGGAAUUUUAAAGCAAUGCGUUUGAUAGUGUCAGUGGCCCUGGGUCAAGCAAAAUGGUGCAGGUUGUGAUAGUGUAGUAUAAAAAAAAAAAAAAUCUUGUGCUGUCAUCAAUAUAUUUGAUAACUUUCAUCAUCUGUUUUCUCCAUCUUUCCUCUCCUGUUGUGGGAAUCCCUGUUUGCUGUCACAUACUACUGAGGCAACGCCCCUUUUAAGGUUUAAUAUGCAUGCAUGUCAGGGUAGGGAGUCCAGCCAGACAUGACCACAGCUGUCUGUCUGCAUCUUGUGCAGCAUGCUGUUUAUGAACCAGUAAAAUUUAAAUAGUUUUUCAGUGUAAUUGAUAUAUAUCUUAUGUCACCAUAUCCAACAUCUAUGAGUAUCAUUGGACAUUAUGAACUUAUUUUUCUGGUUUUGUAAUUUCUAUUGACGUAUUGAAGUACCUGCAAUAUCCUGUGCAGGAAAUGUUCUUAUGGUUUCUUUUAGCCUAAUUUUGAUAAAUAUAUCUUAACUGAUCUUCUUGUUUU